GCUGGCGGCAGGCUUAACACAUGCAAGUUGAACGGGAUUGUGGGUGCUGCAUCUGACAAUGAGAGUAGCGCACUGGUGAGUAACACGUGGGAACAUGCCUUUUGGUGGGGGACAACAGGAGGAAACUUCUGCUAAUACCGCAUAAGCCCUAAGGGGGAAAGAUAUAUUGCCCGAAAAGAUUGGCCCGCGGAAGAUUAGGUAGUUGGUGGGGUAAAGGCCUACCAAGCCGACGAUCUAUAGCUGGUCUGAGAGGACGAACAGCCACAUUGGAACUGAGACACGGUCCAGACUCCUACGGGAGGCAGCAGUGAGGAAUAUUGGGCAAUGGAGGAAACUCUGAACCCCCAGCCAUGCCGCGUGAGUGAAGAAGGUUUUCGAAUUGUAAAGCUCUUUCGGAUGUGACGAUGAUGACGGUAACAUCUAAAGAAGCCCCGGCAAACUUCGUGCCAGCCGCCGC
rnacentral:rRNA from 1 species